UACCCGCAGCACAAGUGGUGGUCAUUAUUAUUGGGCCUAAAGCGUCCGUAGCUGGCUUGUUAGAUGCCUGGGUAAAUCGAUGCGCUCAACGUAUCGAACUCCGGGUAGACCGGCAAGCUUGGGACCGGGAGAGGCGUGAGCUACUCGGGGGGUAGGGGUAAAAUCCUGUAAUCCUCCGGGGAGGACCAGUGGCGAAGGCGUCACGCUAGAACGGCUCCGACAGUGAGGGACGAAGCCCUGGGGCG
rnacentral:rRNA from 1 species